AAAGAUGAAAAUUGUUGAGAGCGAUUGCUUCGCCUUCCUGUGGGCUGUAAGGAGGGUAGGAAGAGCCCACAUGGGCGAUGGGCCUCGGGAUUCCUCAGCUGUCCCUCCUGGCACAGCUUCACAGUGUGGAGCUGUGGCAGGAACUGGGGGGAAGGUGGCCUCACCAUGUCCCCGCCCUCAGGCUGGAUCAUGGAAAUGACAUGAAGGUUACUCCAGCCAGUGUGAAGCUCUGGCGUGUCCCUUAAGCAGGACCAUAAGGGUGGCCCAGGAGAAAGGAGCUGCUCGUCGACCAAAAUUGUUAAUAGGGAUGAUCCUAAAUUCAGAGACUCUUUUUUCCCUGCAGGUGGGCUUUGGGCUGGAGCAUGUGUCCCGCGAGCAGAUCCGGGAGGUGGAAGAGGACUUGGAUGAAUUGUAUGACAGUCUGGAGAUGUACAACCCCAGCGACAGUGGCCCUGAGAUGGAGGAGACAGAAAGCAUCCUCAGCACUCCAAAGCCCAAGCUCAAGCCUUUCUUUGAGGGGAUGUCGCAGUCCAGCUCCCAG
rnacentral:sRNA from 1 species